rnacentral:rRNA from 1 species
UACGGGGGGGGCAAGCGUUGUUCGGAAUUACUGGGCGUAAAGGGUGCGUAGGCGGCUUUCUAAGUUGGAUGUGAAAACUCUGGGCUCAACCCAGAGCCUGCAUCCAAAACUGGAGAGCUUGGGUUCUGGAGGGGAAAGCGGAAUUCCUGGUGUAGCGGUGAAAUGCGUAGAUAUCAGGAGGAACACCGGUGGCGAAGGCGGCUUCCUGGACAAUUACUGACGCUGAGACGCGAAAGCGUGGGGAGCAAACAGG